GACGAACGCUGGCGGCGUGCUUAACACAUGCAAGUCGAACGGAAAGGUCCUGCUUUUGUGGGGUGCUCGAGUGGCGAACGGGUGAGUAACACGUGAGUAACCUGCCCUUGACUUUGGGAUAACUUCAGGAAACUGGGGCUAAUACCGGAUAGGAGCUCCUGCUGCAUGGUGGGGGUUGGAAAGUUUCGGCGGUUGGGGAUGGACUCGCGGCUUAUCAGCUUGUUGGUGGGGUAGUGGCUUACCAAGGCUUUGACGGGUAGCCGGCCUGAGAGGGUGACCGGCCACAUUGGGACUGAGAUACGGCACAGACUCCUACGGGAGGCAGCAGUGGGGAAUAUUGCACAAUGGGCGGAAGCCUGAUGCAGCAACGCCGCGUGCGGGAUGACGGCCUUCGGGUUGUAAACCGCUUUCGCCUGUGACGAAGCGUGAGUGACGGUAAUGGGUAAAGAAGCACCGGCUAACUACGUG
rnacentral:rRNA from 1 species